UCUUUGCUCACUCGCAUCUUUUUUCUCCCUCAGGUUUACAGCUCAGCCUCUGACCCAUAUCUGGUUGAGGAGACUGUGGAUAAUCCAGAACAUCACCAGUGGAAAAAAAGGUGUGAAUGCAUUCAGAAAAAGCCCUUGUGAGUGAGUACACGGAUGCUGGGCAUGAUGAAGCACAAACCUUGAUGUGCAA